rnacentral:rRNA from 1 species
AUUGAACGCUGGCGGCAGGCUUAACACAUGCAAGUCGAGCGGAGAUGAGGUGCUUGCACCUUAUCUUAGCGGCGGACGGGUGAGUAAUGCUUAGGAAUCUGCCUAUUAGUGGGGGACAACAUUCCGAGAGGAAUGCUAAUACCGCAUACGCCCUACGCGGGCACGCAGGGGACCUUCGGACCUUUCGCUAAUAGAUCAGCCUAUGUAGGAUUAGCUAGUUGGUGGGGUAAAGGCCUACCAAGGCGACGAGCUUUCGCGGGUCUUGAGAGAAGUAACCGCCGCAAUGGGACAGAGAAAUGGACCAGACUGCUACGGGAGGCAGCAGUGGGGGAUAGUGGACAAUGGGCGGAAGCCUGAUCCAGCCAUGCCGCGUGUGUGAAGAAGUCCUUUUGGUUGUAAAGCACCUUAAGCGAGGAGGAGGCUACCUGGAUUAAUAUUCUAGGAUAGUGGACGUUACUCGCAGAAUAAGCACCGGCUAACUCUGUGCCAGCCGCCGCGGUAACAC